AGUGAACGCUGGCGGCAGGCCUAACACAUGCAAGUCGAACGGCAGCACAAGAGCGCUUGCUCUCUGGGUGGCGAGUGGCGGACGGGUGAGGAAUGCAUCGGAAUCUGCCCAUUUGUGGGGGAUAACCUCGGGAAACCGGGACUAAUACCGCAUACGACCUACGGGUGAAAGCAGGGGAUCUUCGGACCUUGCGCAGAUGGAUGAGCCGAUGCCGGAUUAGCUAGUUGGAGGGGUAAAGGCCCACCAAGGCGACGAUCCGUAGCUGGUCUGAGAGGAUGAUCAGCCACACUGGGACUGAGACACGGCCCAGACUCCUACGGGAGGCAGCAGUGGGGAAUAUUGGACAAUGGGCGCAAGCCUGAUCCAGCCAUGCCGCGUGUGUGAAGAAGGCCUUCGGGUUGUAAAGCACUUUUGUUGGGAAAGAAAAGCAGCCGGUUAAUACCCGGUUGUCAUGACGGCACCCAAAGAAUAAGCACCGGCUAACUUCGUG
rnacentral:rRNA from 1 species